rnacentral:rRNA from 1 species
UACGUAGGGGGCAAGCGUUGUCCGGAAUCACUGGGCGUAAAGCGCACGUAGGCGGCUUCUUAAGUCAGGGGUGAAAUCCUGGAGCUCAACUCCAGAACUGCCUUUGAUACUGAGAAGCUUGAGUCCGGGAGAGGUGAGUGGAACUGCGAGUGUAGAGGUGAAAUUCGUAGAUAUUCGCAAGAACACCAGUGGCGAAGGCGGCUCACUGGCCCGGUACUGACGCUGAGGUGCGAAAGCGUGGGGAGCAAACAGG